UACGGAGGGUGCAAGCGUUGUCCGGAUUUAUUGGGUUUAAAGGGUGCGUAGGCGGCUCAUUAAGUCUGGGGUGAAAGCCCGUUGCUCAACAACGGAACUGCCCUGGAAACUGGUGAGCUUGAGUACAGACGAGGGUGGCGGAAUGGAUGCUGUAGCGGUGAAAUGCAUAGAUAGCAUCCAGAACCCCCGAUUGCGAAGCAGACUGCCUAGACCUGUAACUGAACCGCUGAGGCAGCGAAAAGCGUGGGGAGCGAACAGG
rnacentral:rRNA from 1 species